UACAGAGGUCUCAAGCGUUGUUCGGAUUCAUUGGGCGUAAAGGGUGCGUAGGCGGCGCGGUAAGUCGGGUGUGAAAUCUCGGAGCUUAACUCCGAAACUGCAUUCGAUACUGCCGUGCUUGAGGACUGGAGAGGAGACUGGAAUUCACGGUGUAGCAGUGAAAUGCGUAGAUAUCGUGAGGAAGACCAGUGGCGAAGGCGGGUCUCUGGACAGUUCCUGACACUGAGGCACGAAGGCCAGGGGAGCAAACGGG
rnacentral:rRNA from 1 species